GAUGAACGCUAGCGGCAGGCUUAAUACAUGCAAGUCGAGGGGCAGCACAGGUAGCAUUACUGGGUGGCGACCGGCAAACGGGUGCGGAACACGUACACAACUUACCUUAGAGUGGGGGAUAGCCCAGGGAAACUUGGAUUAAUACCCCAUAAAACAGGGGGCCCGCAUGGGCAUAUUGUUAAAGAUUUAUCGCUUUAAGAUGGGUGUGCGUAUGAUUAGGUAGUUGGUAGGGUAAAGGCCUACCAAGCCGACGAUCAUUAACUGGUGUGAGGGAACGACCAGUCACACGGGCACUGAGACACGGGCCCGACUCCUACGGGAGGCAGCAGUAAGGAAUAUUGGUCAAUGGACGGAAGUCUGAACCAGCCAUGCCGCGUGAAGGAUGAAGGUCCUCUGGAUUGUAAACUUCUUUUAUAGGGGGCGAAAAAGGGCCAUUCUUGGUCAACUGACGGUACCCUAUGAAUAAGCACCGGCUAACUCCGUGCCAGCCGCCGCAGUAAAAC
rnacentral:rRNA from 1 species